rnacentral:rRNA from 1 species
UACAGAGGUCUCAAGCGUUGUUCGGAUUCAUUGGGCGUAAAGGGUGCGUAGGUGGCGGGGUAAGUCAGGUGUGAAAUUUCGGAGCUUAACUCCGAAACUGCAUUUGAUACUGCCUUGCUUGAGGACUGGAGAGGAGACCUGGAAUUCACGGUGUAGCAGUGAAAUGCGUAGAGAUCGUGAGGAAGACCAGUGGCGAAGGCGGGUCUCUGGACAGUUCCUGACACUGAGCACGAGGCCAGGGG